rnacentral:misc_RNA from 1 species
GAUGAAGAACGUAGCGAAAUGCGAUAAUUAAUGUGAAUUGCAGAAUUCCGUGAAUCAUCGAGUCUUUGAACGCACAUUGCGCCUCAUGGCAUUCCGUGAGGCAUGCCCAUCUCAGCGUUAGAAAAUAUUCUCAAAUUUUAGUUUUGUGCUAAAAUUUGGAUCAUGUCAAGGAAGCUAUUACUAUUAUUGUGAUCGCUCUUUGGAAAUUGAUAGGUCUUUGAGUUGCUACUCAUAGAACGUGAUGAAUCUUUCUUCGUUCUAUUGUAAUUCACUCUGGUAGUCCUAAAACUUGUAUGCCUGUGGCAUAUCUUGUAAUUUGACCUGAUAUUGGGUAGGGAUACCCGCUGAACUUAAGCAUAUCAAUAAGCGGAGGA